CCUACGGGGUGCAGCAGUGGGGAAUAUUGCACAAUGGGCGAAAGCCUGAUGCAGCGACGCCACGUGAGGGAUGACGGCCUUCGGGUUGUAAACCUCUUUCAGCAGGGAAGAAGCGAAAGUGACGGUACCUGCAGAAGAAGCGCCGGCUAACUACGUGCCAGCAGCCGCGGUAAUACGUAGGGCGCAAGCGUUGUCCGGAAUUAUUGGGCGUAAAGAGCUCGUAGGCGGUCUGUCGCGUCUGGUGUGAAAUCCCAUGGCUCAACUGUGGGCUUGCAUCGGGUACGGGCAGACUAGAGUGCUGUAGGGGAGACUGGAAUUCCUGGUGUAGCGGUGGAAUGCGCAGGUAUCAGGAGGAACACCGAUGGCGAAGGCAGGUCUCUGGGCAGUUACUGACGCUGAGGAGCGAAAGCAUGGGGAGCGAACAGGAUUAGAUACCCGGGUAGUC
rnacentral:rRNA from 1 species